GUUCCUUGACACCGAGUGCCAUGACAACCAUCAGACCCAUCCGGUCUCUGCAUAGCCACUCUGCUCAUUACCUGGGGAAAAACGUUUGCAGCUGUUGCAAGAGAAUUCCUUUCACUGAAGUAUCCCCUGACUGCAGUUUCCAACAGAAAAUCUAUUUACUGAAAUUGAAUAUCAAGACUACCAGGUAUGCACAGCUGCACUA